CAGAUGUUACUAACAUCAGCAGCACCGAUACAACAGUCAUACCAGAGACAACCUCAGCUGAGCCAGUCACUUCCACAACAUCUACUAGUUCUACUUCUACAGUUCCUUUACACAUGGUCACUUCCACAAUAUCUACCAGUCCCACUUCUACAGAUCCUUUACAGCCUGUCUCUUCUACAACACCUACUAGUUCUACAUCUAC